GAUGAACGCUGACAGAAUGCUUAACACAUGCAAGUCAACUGUGGCGGACGGGUGAGUAACGCGUAAAGAACUUGCCUCACAGAUAGGGACAACAUUUGGAAACGAAUGCUAAUACCUGAAACUGUGAGAGAGUUUUCCGUCCCAUUAGCUAGUUGGAGAGGUAACGGCUCACCAAGGCGAGGAUGGGUAGCCGGCCUGAGAGGGUGAUCGGCAACAAGGGGACUGAGACACGGCCCUUACUCCUACGGGAGGCAGCAGUGGGGAAUAUUGGACAAUGGACCAAAGUCUGAUCCAGCAAUUCUGUGUGCACGAUGAAGUUUUCGGAAGGUAAAGUGCUUUCAGUUGGGAAGCGGUACCAACAGAAGAAGUGACGGCUAAAUACGUGCCAGCCGCCGCGGUAAUAC
rnacentral:rRNA from 1 species